GAGUAUCAAUUGGAGGGCAAGUCUGGUGCCAGCAGCCGCGGUAAUUCCAGCUCCAAUAGCGUAUAUUAAACUUGUUGCAGUUAAAAAGCUCGUAGUUGAAUUUCUGCUGUUUCGUUGACUGCGUUUGGCGUUUGUCAUCGUUGCGGCUUGGUUGGGUUUCGAUUAUUCGUUUCCCGGCGUUUACUUUGAGAAAAUUAGAGUGCUUGAAGCAGGCUUUUGCCUUGAAUACUUUAGCAUGGAAUAACGGAGUAGGACUUUGGUUCUAUUUUGUUGGUUUUAGGAGCCAGAGUAAUGGUUAAUAGGAACAGUUGGGGGCAUUCGUAUUUGACUGUCAGAGGUGAAAUUCUU
rnacentral:rRNA from 1 species